UGGGGAGAUAGUGAUUUUUUGGCAUUCGCCGUUUCGCGUACGCGCGUUAUCUUCGCGAGCACAAGCAACCGCCGAAAGAGUGCCGCUGGUGCGAUCGAGAGGUUUGUUCGAAUGAUUGUACUUGGGUGCAGUGGUGCAAAGCAAAGAAAAAUAAUACAAAACGGACGCCUUUAAUGGCUGAAUUAACGCGUGUGUUUGAUGUUUGAGGAGAGAUCAUAAAUGUUUUAAGAAAACAAAUUGAAAUACGAGUGUCUCUAUCGCCAGUAAAUGGUCACCUGCAGCAACGCAUCCAUCGAUACUACAACCAACCUUCCCGGUAGUCCGAGAACGAUCGUACCCGAGUGGAAAGCGCAUUGCAUUCUGAAGAGAAAACCACGCGACUUCUAUCCAUAAGCUAACC